rnacentral:rRNA from 1 species
AGUAAUGUAUGGGGAUCUGCCUGAUGGGCGGGGGAUAACUACUGGAAACGGUAGCUAAUACCGCAUAAUGUCUGCGGACCAAAGCGGGGGACCUCCGGGCCUCGCGCCAUCAGAUGAACCCAUAUGGGAUUAGCUAGUAGGUAAGGUAACGGCUUACCUAGGCGACGAUCCCUAGCUGGUCUGAGAGGAUGAUCAGCCACACUGGGACUGAGACACGGCCCAG